GCUCCGGUGGCUUAUUGGUUAGAGCGUGCACCUCGGAUGCGGGAGGUUUUGGGUUCAAUUCCCGGUCAAAUCA